AAUCCCAAAAAUAACGUCCCAGUUCGGAUUGUAGUCUGCAACCCGACUACAUGAAGCUGGAAUCGCUAGUAAUCGCGGAUCAGAAUGCCGCGGUGAAUACGUUCCCGGGUCUUGUACACACCGCCCGUCACACCAUGGGAGUCGGAAAUGCCCGAAGUCAGUAGUCCAGCCUCGUGAGGACGCUGCCGAAGGUAGGAUUGGCGACUGGGGUGAAGUCGUAACAAGGUACC
rnacentral:rRNA from 1 species